rnacentral:rRNA from 1 species
GUGGGGAAUAUUGGGCAAUGGGCGAAAGCCUGACCCAGCAACGCCGCGUGAAUGAAGAAGGCCUUCGGGUUGUAAAGUUCUGUCCUAUGGGACGAAAAAAAUGACGGUACCAUAGGAGGAAGCCCCGGCUAACUACGUGCCAGCAGCCGCGGUAAUACGUAGGGGGCGAGCGUUGUCCGGAAUUACUGGGCGUAAAGGGUGCGCAGGCGGCGCUUUAAGUCAGAUGUGAAAUACCCGGGCUUAACUCGGGGGGUGCAUUUGAAACUGGAGUGCUUGAGUGCAGGAGAGGAAAGUGGAAUUCCUAGUGUAGCGGUGAAAUGCGUAGAUAUUAGGAGGAACACCAGUGGCGAAGGCGACUUUCUGGACUGUAACUGACGCUGAGGCACGAAAGCGUGGGGAGCAAACAGGAUUAGAUACCCGAGUAGUCC